rnacentral:rRNA from 1 species
CACGUAGGGUGCAAGCGUUGUCCGGAAUUAUUGGGCGUAAAGAGCUCGUAGGCGGCUUGCCACGUCGACUGUGAAAACCCGGGGCUCAACUCCGGGCCUGCAGUCGAUACGGGCUGGCUUGAGUGCGGUAGGGGAGACUGGAAUUCCUGGUGUAGCGGUGAAAUGCGCAGAUAUCAGGAGGAACACCGGUGGCGAAGGCGGGUCUCUGGGCCGUAACUGACGCUGAGGAGCGAAAGCGUGGGGAGCGAACAGG